GACGAACGCUGGCGGCGUGCCUAAUACAUGCAAGUCGAACGCAGUGGGGACAGGUGAGUAACACGUGGGUAACCUCCCAUCAGAGGGGAUAACACUUGGAAACAGGUGCUAAACCGAUAUUGGUGGAUGGACCCGCGGUGCAUUAGCUAGUUGGUGAGGUAACGGCUCACCAAGGCCACGAUGCAUAGCUGACCUGAGAGGGUGACCAGCCACACUGGGACUGAGACACGGCCCAGACUCCUACGGGAGGCAGCAGUAGGGAAUCUUCGGCAAUGGGCGAAAGUCUGAUCGAGCAACGCCGCGUGAGUGAAGAAGGUUUUCGGAUCGUAAAGCUCUGUUGGUAGGGAGGCGGUAUCUGCCCAGAAAGCCACGGCUAACUACGUGCCAGCCGCCGCGGUAAUUC
rnacentral:rRNA from 1 species